GUCCCAGUAGCUCAGCUGGAUAGAGCAACAGCCUUCUAAGCUGUAGGUCGCAGGUUCGAGUCCUGCCUGGGACGCCA
rnacentral:tRNA from 1 species